rnacentral:rRNA from 1 species
GCGCCGGCGAUGGUUCAUUCAAAUUUCUGCCCUAUCAACUUUCGAUUGUAAGAUAGAGGCUUACAAUGGUCUUAACGGGUAACGGGGAAUUAGGGUUCUAUUCCGGAGAGGGAGCCUGAGAAACGGCUACCACAUCCAAGGAAGGCAGCAGGCGCGCAAAUUACCCAAUGCUAAUUCAGCGAGGUAGUGACAAUAAAUACUGAUACGGGGCUCUUUCGGGUCUCGUAAUUGGAAUGAGUACAAUCUAAAUCCCUUAACGAGGAACAAUUGGAGGGCAAGUCUGGUGCCAGCAGCCGCGGUAAUUCCAGCUCCAAUAGCGUAUAUUAAAGUUGUUGCCGUUAAAAAGCUCGUAGUUGAACCUUGGACCUGGCUGAUCUGUCCUCCUAAUCGAGCGCACGGAUUCGGUCGGGUCUUUCCUUCUGGGGAGCCCUAUGCCCUUCACUGGGUGUAGUGGGGAACCAGGACUUUUACCUUGAAAAAAUUAGAGUGUUCAAAGCAGGCCUUUGCUCGAAUACAUUAGCAUGGAAUAAUAGAAUAGGACAUCGGUUCUAUUUUGUUGGUUUCUAGGACCGCUGUAAUGAUUAAUAGGGAUAGUCGGGGGCGUCAGUAUUCAAUUGUCAGAGGUGAAAUUCUUGGAUUUAUUGAAGACUAACUACUGCGAAAGCAUUCGCCAAGGAUGUUUUCAUUAAUCAGUGAACGAAAGUUAGGGGAUCGAAGACGAUCAGAUACCGUCGUAGUCUUAACCAUAAACUAUGCCGACUAGGGAUCGGACGGUGGUUUUUUUAUGCCCCGUUCGGCACCUUACGAGAAAUCAAAGUUUUUGGGCUCGGGGGGGGAGUAUGGUCGCAAGGCUGAAACUUAAAGAAAUUGACGGAAGGCACCACCAGGCGUGGAGCCUGCGGCUUAAUUUGACUC